rnacentral:lncRNA from 1 species
AGACUUAUUGGGCACAGGUGGUCAUUAUACCCAAGAAAGUGCUGAAAGUAAUAGAAGUAAUAUGCAGAACUUUCCUCUGGACUGGUAAGGCUAACCUAUCCAGAAGAGCUCUGGUAGCUUGGGACAAGGUGUGCAAACCUAUAUCUGCUGGAGGGCUAAACUCUCUGGACUGGUAAGGCUAACCUAUCCAGAAGAGCUCUGGUAGCUUGGGAAAAUGUGUGCAAACCUAUAUCUGCUGGAGGGCUUAACAUCCUAGACUUGUCUGUGUGGAACAAAGCAGCCAUAACUA